rnacentral:rRNA from 1 species
CUACGGGACGCUCCAGUGGGGAAUAUUGCACAAUGGGCGCAAGCCUGAUGCAGCCAUGCCGCGUGUAUGAAGAAGGCCUUCGGGUUGUAAAGUACUUUCAGCGGGGAGGAAGGGAGUAAAGUUAAUACCUUUGCUCAUUGACGUUACCCGCAGAAGAAGCACCGGCUAACUCCGUGCCAGCAGCCGCGGUAAUACGGAGGGUGCAAGCGUUAAUCGGAAUUACUGGGCGUAAAGCGCACGCAGGCGGUUUGUUAAGUCAGAUGUGAAAUCCCCGGGCUCAACCUGGGAACUGCAUCUGAUACUGGCAAGCUUGAGUCUCGUAGAGGGGGGUAGAAUUCCAGGUGUAGCGGUGAAAUGCGUAGAGAUCUGGAGGAAUACAGGUAGCGAAGGCGGCCCCCUGGACGAAGACUGACGCUCAGGUGCGAAAGCGUGGGGAGCAAACAGGAUUAGAUACCCGUGUAGUC